rnacentral:rRNA from 1 species
GUACAGGUGUUGCAUGGCUGUCGUCAGCUCGUGUCGUGAGAUGUUCGGUUAAGUCCGCUAACGAGCGCAACCCUCGUCGUAUGUUAUAUGUGUCAUACGAGACUGCCGGUAAAAGCCGGAGGAAGGUGAGGAUGAUGUCAAGUCAGCAUGACCUUUAUAUCCAGGGCUACACAUACGCUACAAUGGUCUGUACAAUGGGUAGCCAAGCCGCGAGGCGGAGCCAAUCCUGAAAGCAGGCCUCAGUUCAGAUUGCAGUCUGCAACUCGACUGCAUGAAGCCGGAGUUGCUAGUAACCGCGGAUCAGCAUGUCGCGGUGAAUACGUUCCCGGGCCUU